GAAAAAUCCGCCAGAUGGCAAUACGUAGACGCGAGGUCCAAAUGCAUGAUUGGUUAUUUUUGACAUGACAUUGACAGAUAUGUCAAAAUCCACCAAUCACGCAGCAGUCAGACCCCACAUCCACGUCCCGCCAUCUAGCGGAUCUUUCAUUCGCGAAAACCCUCAUUGUUACUAUGCGAGGAAAGUCGAAAUCAAGUUAUUAAAAUCUAAAUUGAUGAAGAGAAUUGGGUCAUUGGAUUAGUCUAGCCACACUGCUAAAAACGGGUGGUUCAAUUUGCGCCCGAUUCGCGUUUCUCCCGCGCGGCGUGACUAGGGAAACGCGAAGGCCGAGUCUGCAACGACCCGCAUGAGGGGCCGACCUAUGAGCACGGAUCCUCGACCGAGCGUCAGGUAUCGGCGAGCUUGAGGCGUUGUCCGCUAGUCGUCGACGUCAAUCGAGUGAGGUGACGUUAUCGAUAUCGUAAAACUGUUCUCGAUUCUUAUUCAUCAUGUUGCCAGCUUGGUCAAAUCAAUCCGCUUUUGGACUAUUUCUCGCAUCGCUUAUCUCUAAUUUUUUCUUUAUUAACUAAGAAGCUGAACUUAAAAAGCUGACAGUGUUGUUUCAUUUUACUAUGCAUCCAAGUGAGAAACUUGAAAGAUUGAAUGAGCUUGCUGCUUGAUUUCACUAGAUGGGAGAUGCGAUCUAUCUAUAAAUGAACCAAAACUGUAUAAUGCAAUAUAUUGUAUUAUAGUAUUUGAUUAUGUUCCGCCACUUUGCUCGAUUGCUACUCGAUUACUCGCGGACAGUAUACGCGAUUUAGUAGACUGGUGAUCUCGAUCGUCCCUUGGACUGAGUUUGGAGUCAUCGGCCCUCGUGUAAAUCAAUUUUGAGGUUCGAACUCGGCAUGUUAGAUAUUGUCUCUCUAUUUGUGAUGGUAAAACGUAAUUAGGGCGAAUUGAGAUUAUUGUAUAAAAUAUUAGUACUCGAGUUCGUCUUUUAUCCUCUUACUUUAUUCAUGUAAAUUUUUUGGAAUAUUGUGAUCGAUUUAACGAGGGCCGGAUGGUAAAGAAAGCUUUACUGUGUGAAGGUUAAUUGAUAUUGGCUAAGUGUUUUUUUUUGUUUGAUGAGAAAUUUUAAAUUUAAAUGCUUUGGAAAUGAGAUUUUGUGAACUACUGCUAAGCAGCCCGAGACAUUAUCACUGGUAUUUGCAAUGUAUUUACAACGAUAGUCGUGCUCCUAUGUCGUUGCGUCCUCGAACAGGUAUGCAAUUCUUUAUCUGUUUUAUCAGUUAAAACACUGGCAAUUAAAAGAUAUAUACUAUUUCAUAAUCUAAUAUUUAAUAAUUCAGGGCUUAUAGUAAGUGUGGGGAUAAGAUUUCAUAUUUCUAUCCGGUCGUUAUAAAUCAUUAUGUUAAGUUUCUGUGUACAUGUUGAUUUUGUUGUUGAAUGAAAAGAUAGAAUUAGGAAUGGUCUUGUUUUGUGUGAGUUAGGUAGGUGGACUAGCAUUUAAAGUUGGCGACGAUGAGUCGGUCACCUUAGGUGUAAAGAAUUGCCUGCCUGUUUAGUGCACACGCUCACUGCCCUCCGUAUUGGCACGCUCAGUCCCUCCUACUACAGCUCACGCGAGCGUCAAUUUAACUUUACUGUUAACAUAGUUGUAAAAGUAAGCCUAUCCUGAUUGUGAAUGAUGUUAUUGUAAAAGGUAAUGGGCGUUUGCGGUCGAUGUACCGAUAUUGUAACAUUCGAUUAGGAUAGUCAUAGCUAGUUCUGACAUAAAUGAUGUUUGAGAUGUAUCCAGGCUUCAAAAAUUGCGGCAGUGGGUUUUUAUUAUUAUAGGCUGUGUAAAUUCACCCGCGAGAGGUGUAAGGAUCGAAGUUAUGAUUGUAAUCUAUUCGAUAUAUCACUCUCUGGGUCCCUCUCACUACUUCCAUGCGAUGUUCGUAGGGUAGGAUGUAUGAUAUGUUGAAUGUUGCGCCCUCAAGGGCGGAUUGUUGUAUUCGAUGCACUUAUGGGAGUAGUGAAUGAACCCUUGGAUUCAAUUCAAUUAUGCAAAUUUUCACUUAAACAUUAUAUUUUUUUUCAAUGUUAUAAUAAAAAAGUAUAUUAUGCAUUAAUAA